rnacentral:rRNA from 1 species
CUAUGCGCCUUGCCACGCCCGACUCAAGAAACUCAAAGGGAAUUGACGGGGGCCCGCACAAGCGGUGGAGCAUGUGGUUUAAUUCGAUGAUACGCGAGGAACCUUACCUGGGCUAAAUGGGGAGUGACAGCUGUCGAAAGAUGGUUUUCUUCGGACACUCUUCAAGGUGCUGCAUGGUUGUCGUCAGCUCGUGCCGUGAGGUGUCGGGUUAAGUCCCAUAACGAGCGCAACCCUUACCGUUAGUUACCAUCAGGUUAAGCUGGGGACUCUAGCGGGACUGCCACCGUAAGGUGAGAGGAAGGUGGGGAUGACGUCAAAUCAGCACGGCCCUUAUGUCCAGGGCUACACACGUGCUACAAUGGUCGGUACAAAGGGUUGCCAAGCCGCGAGGUGGAGCUAAUCCCAUAAAACCGAUCGUAGUCCGGAUCGCAGUCUGCAACUCGACUGCGUGAAGUCGGAAUCGCUAGUAAUCGUGAAUCAGAAUGUCACGGUGAAUACGUUCCCGGGCCUU